rnacentral:lncRNA from 1 species
AUCUUCUGUGUUCUUCUUAAUUGACAAACUGCAAUGGCUGUCUUCAGAGUCUUGGUUUUCUAUGGUGGUCAACUCCUGAGUUCUUAUGAUGUCGCUGGGCACAGAAAAAAUAAACGGAGAAGGUAAGGCACCUGGCUAGGAGAGUGAAGGCUUGAAGCCAUGUGCUCUCAUGUGAUUGGCUGAAUUACUUGGUCAAGAAACCAGAGUGGACCCUUAGCCAAGGUCAAGGGGCUGGCAUAGCAGAGAAAAGGCAACGGCUUCAUCAGAUGGUUAGCAAGUUGAAAAAUAUGUAUUUGCAUUUGGGUUUGAAAAUCAGGGUAAAAUUUGUCAGAAGCCAGAGAAAAAAUAUACGGGUAGCCAGAGAACAAAUACAGUGAGGAAUGAGCAGAGCCCAGGGGCUGCAGUGCCAUUUGUUGAUACAAGGAAAAGAAAGUUAGACAUAAAUGUUUCCUCUCUGAGCUGAUGUUGUUUAACCUGUGAGCAUUUGGUGUACAACUUACAGAUCUUGAUACACCCUCAUCCCUGAACUGAAGGCAUCUGUUUGGCAAUUAGAAGAAAGGUCUUAAGUAUGCUUAGCUGGUAUUACAGCACGCCACUGAGAAACUGCAGGGGAAAGAGAGACGUGGCUGUGUUCCUGAGGCCCACUUCUUGAAGUUUCCUCAAAGGUGGGAGACGC